rfam:Gossypium raimondii Chr02_contig_19, whole genome shotgun sequence.
UAUUAAAAAAUUUAUCUAUUUGUACUAUUAAAAAUUUAUGUAGCUGAUGAAAUAAUUGGAUAAUGCUAUAUGGUGUGUCAUGCGCACAUUAUAUUGAUGCACAUUAAUCAAUUUCUUAACCAUAAAAAUGGAUGAAACUUUUAAUA